rnacentral:lncRNA from 1 species
UUCCUGGUGGGAUUCCAAAGUUUGAUGUCCCUCAAACCCAAUCCCAGUUGGUUCCAACCCAAUCCCAGUUGGAUCCAACCCCAGUUCCAGAAGGUUCCUGGUAGGAUUCCAAAAUUUCGUGUCCUUCAAACCCAAUCCCAGUUGGAUUCCACCCCAAUUCCAGAAGGUUCCUGGUGGGAUUACAAAAUUUCGUGUCCCUCAAACCCAACCCCAGUUGGUUCCUCCUCAAUCCCAAUUGAAUCCAACCCAAUUUUGGGCACAUCCAACCCAAUUCCAGAAGGUUCCUGGUGGGAUUCCAAACUUUGGUGUCCCUCAAACUCAAUCCCAGUUGGUUCCACCUCAAUCCCAGUUGGUUCCAACCCCAAUUUAAGAAGGUUUCAACCCAAAUCCCAGUUGGAUCCAACCCAAUUUCAGAAGGUUGCUGGUGGGAUUCCAAAAUUUCGUGUCCCUCAAACCCAACCCCAGUUGGUUCCAACUCAAUCCCAGUUGGUUCCACCUCAAUCCCAGUUGGAUCCAACCCAAUUUCAGGAGAUUUCAACCCAAAUCCCAGUUGGUUCCAAAACCAAUUCCAGAAGGUUCCUGGUGGGACUCCAAAAUUUCGUGUCCUUCAAACUCAAUCCCAGUUGGUUCUACCUCAACCUCAGUUGGUUCCACCUCAACCUCAGAUGGUUCCACCUCAAUCCCAGUUGGUUCCACCUCAAUCCCAGUUGGUUCUACCUCUAUCCCAGUUGGUUCCACCUCAAUCCCAGUUGGUUCCAACCCAAUUUCAGGGGAUUUCAACCAAAAUUUUGGGGAGAACCAACUCCAAUUCCAGAGGGUUCCUGGUGGGAUUCCAAACUGACGUGUCCCUCAAACUCAACCCCAGUUGGUUCCACCUCAACCUCAGAUGAUUCCACCUCAAUUUCUCAAGAUUUCAACCCAAUCCCUGUUGGUUCCAACCCCAGUUUCUGGAGACUUCAACCCCAAUUCCAGAAGGUUCCUGGUGGGACUCCAAACUGACGUGUCCCUCAAACUCAAUCCCAGAUGGUUCCACCUCAACCUCAGAUGGUUCACCCUCAACCUCAGAUGAUUCCACCUCAAUUUCUCGAGAUUUCAGCCCAAUCCCACCUGGAUGGAUCCCAAUUUUUUUAACCCAUUCUGAGCCAAAAUUCCCAGAUUUUUCCACCGUUCCAGUGCCGCCGGAGGUGGCCGUGUUCCCCAAGCACCCGGUGGAGCAGGACGAGCCCAACGUCCUCAUCUGCUCGGUGACCAAGUUCUGGCCGCCGGUGC